CCGAGUUAUACAACUCCUCAACCCAUGUGAACAUACCUAAACGUUGCUUCGGCGGGAACAGCCCGCUCUGCCCUGUAACCAGGGCGCCCCGCCAGAGGUACCCUAACUCUUGUCUUCAUAUAGUUCUUCUGAGUGCAAACAGCAAAUAAAUCA
rnacentral:misc_RNA from 1 species